UAUCACAGCAGAAUUUGACAUUU
rnacentral:miRNA from 1 species